GGGGAUUUAGCUCAGUGGUAGAGCGCUUGCCUAGCAAGAUUAAGGCCCUGGGUUCGGUCCCCAGCUCUG
rnacentral:tRNA from 1 species